AUGUGGGUCAACGGAGCCGGCGAACUGCGGCAAGGAGGACAUGGUGCUGGUGGACAUGCACAUGAGGAGCAGCUCGUCGCCCGGCGCGGUGGUCGCCGCGGGCGGGCCCACGUUCCUGAUGGUGCCACCCAUGUACCUGGUGCCGACAGCAGGGGCAGGGGAUGGGGCUGCGUCCAUGGAAGUUCCCCUCCACAUCCGCAUCGACAAGCUCUCCCCUUGGUCCGAUGCAUUGGUUUGAUUAGGUCCAGCACUCACUCAAGGCAGUUCAAGGAUGUAUUUGGGUGA
rnacentral:rRNA from 1 species